rnacentral:rRNA from 1 species
UUGAAAGGGAAACGAUUGAAGUCAGUCAUGCUGNUGGGAAUCAACUUAGGGGAAACUCUAGGUGCACUUUUUCGCUUGGCAGGUUAACGUCGAUCUUGAAUGCCAUAAAAUAAUUGGGGGAAGGUAGCUCCUUCGGGAGUGUUAUAGCCCUUGAUAGAUGUGAUGUUUGGGGUCGAGGAUUGCAACGGAUACCCUUUGGGGCUAGCCGCCUGAUCUCUAAUCGGUGUUGGGUUACGGAUAGCAUGCUGACCGUGAUCUAAUUACUGGUUAAAAGGUUAGAGCGUGCAUAAAUUCGUUAAGGAUGUUGACGUA